rnacentral:tRNA from 1 species
AAUAAAAUGCCUGAGUAAAGGAGUAUCUUGAUAGGAUAAAUUAUGUAAUUUUUUUAUUACUUUUAUUA